rnacentral:rRNA from 1 species
UACGGAGGGUGCAAGCGUUAUCCGGAUUCACUGGGUUUAAAGGGUGCGUAGGCGGGUAUGUAAGUCAGUGGUGAAAUCCCCGAGCUUAACUCGGGAACUGCCAUUGAUACUAUAUAUCUUGAAUGUUCUGGAGGUAUGCGGAAUAUGUCAUGUAGCGGUGAAACUGCUUAGAGAUGACAUAGAACACCUAUUGCGAAGGCAGCAUACUACGGAAAUAUUGACGCUGAGGCACGAAAGUGUGGGGAUCAAACAGG